GGAGGUAGUCAGUAGCAGGUGAUGAGUGUUGAGGAGGUAGUCAGUAGCAGGUGAUGAGUGUUGAGGAGGUAGUCAGUAGCAGGUGAUGAGUGUUGAGGAGGUAGUCAGUAGCAGGUGAUGAGUGUUGAGGAGGUAGUCAGUAGCAGGUGAUGAGUGUUGAGGAGGUAGUCAGUAGCAGGUGAUGAGUGUUGAGGAGGUAGUCAGCAGCAGGUGAUGAGUGUUGAGGAGGUAGUCAGUAGCAGGUGAUGAGUGUUGAGGAGGUAGUCAGUAGCAGGUGAUGAGUGUUGAGGAGGUAGUCAGUAGCAG
rnacentral:lncRNA from 1 species